AGGGGAAUAGCCUUCCGAAAAGGAAGAUUAAUACCGCAUAACAUUACAGUUUCGCAUGAAACGGUAAUUAAAGGAGUAAUCCGCUACAAGAUGGGCCCGCGGCGCAUUAGCUAGUUGGUGAGGUAACGGCUCACCAAGGCGACGAUGCGUAGCCGACCUGAGAGGGUGAUCGGCCACAUUGGGACUGAGACACGGCCCAGACUCCUACGGGAGGCAGCAGUGGGGAAUAUUGCACAAUGGGGGAAACCCUGAUGCAGCAACGCCGCGUGAGUGAUGAAGGUUUUCGGAUCGUAAAGCUCCGUCUUCGGGGACGAUAAUGACGGUACCCGAGGAGGAAGCCACGGCUAACUACGUG
rnacentral:rRNA from 1 species